rnacentral:rRNA from 1 species
UACGUAGGGGGCGAGCGUUGUCCGGAUUCAUUGGGCGUAAAGCGCUUUAAGGCGGUUCGGUAAGUCGGGUGUGAAACCUCCAGGCUCAACCUGGAGACGCCACUCGAUACUGCUGUGACUAGAGUUCGGUAGGGGAUCACGGAAUUCCUGGUGUAGCUGUGAAAUGCGCAGAUAUCAGGAGGAACACCGGUGGCGAAGGCGGUGAUCUGGGCCGACACUGACGCUGUAGAGCGAAAGCGUGGGGAGCGAACAGG